rnacentral:rRNA from 1 species
GUCCACGCCGUAAACGUUGGGUGCUAGACGUCGGGGGUAUUGACCCCCUCCGGUGUCGAAGCUAACGCAUUAAGCACCCCGCCCUGGGGAGGUACGGCCGCAAGGCUAAAACUACAAAGGAAAUUGACGGGGGCCCGGCACAAGCGGUGGAGCAUGUGGUUCAAUUCGAAGCAACGCGCAGAACCUUACCUGGGCUUGACAUCCGCGGAAUCCCUCGGAAACGAGGGAGUGCCUUCGGGAGCCGCGAGACAGGUGCUGCAUGGCUGUCGU